rnacentral:rRNA from 1 species
AUUGAACGCUAGCGGGAUGCCUUACACAUGCAAGUCGAACGGCAGCACGGACUUCGGUCUGGUGGCAAGUGGCGAACGGGUGAGUAAUGUAUCGGAACGUGCCUAGUAGCGGGGGAUAACUACGCGAAAGCGUAGCUAAUACCGCAUACGCCCUACGGGGGAAAGCAGGGGAUCGUAAGACCUUGCACUAUUAGAGCGGCCGAUAUCGGAUUAGCUAGUUGGUGGGGUAACGGCUCACCAAGGCGACGAUCCGUAGCUGGUUUGAGAGGACGACCAGCCACACUGGGACUGAGACACGGCCCAGACUCCUACGGGAGGCAGCAGUGGGGAAUUUUGGACAAUGGGGGAAACCCUGAUCCAGCCAUCCCGCGUGUGCGAUGAAGGCCUUCGGGUUGUAAAGCACCUUUGGCAGGAAAGAAACGUCAUGGGUUAAUACCCCGUGAAACUGACGGUACCUGCAGAAUAAGCACCGGCUAACUACGUGCCAGCCGCCGCGGUAAGAC